rnacentral:pre_miRNA from 1 species
CGGGGGAGGCGGGAUCCUGGGCUGUGUCCCGGCGCCCUGUGCUCCGGAGCCUGCGCUGGUGGAUUCGCGCUCCCGCCCCCUCCCCCCU